rnacentral:rRNA from 1 species
UAGGGAAUCUUCCGCAAUGGACGAAAGUCUGAUGGAGCAACGCCGCGUGAGUGAUGAAGGUUUUCGGAUCGUAAAGCUCUGUUGUUAGGGAAGAACAAGUACCGUUCGAAUAGGGCGGUACCUUGACGGUACCUAACCAGAAAGCCACGGCUAACUACGUGCCAGCAGCCGUGGUAAUACGUAGGUGGCAAGCGUUGUCCGGAAUUAUUGGGCGUAAAGGGCUCGCAGGCGGAAUGAUAAGUCUGAUGUGAAAGCCCCCGGCUCAACCGGGGAGGGUCAUUGGAAACUGGGGAACUUGAGUGCAGAAGAGGAGAGUGGAAUUCCACGUGUAGCGGUGAAAUGCGUAGAGAUGUGGAGGAACACCAGUGGCGAAGGCGACUCUCUGGUCUGUAACUGACGCUGAGGAGCGAAAGCGUGGGGAGCGAACC